rnacentral:tRNA from 1 species
GCUAUUUUGGCAGAUAAGUGCAAUGGAUUUAGAAUCUAUGAAUGUAAGUUGAUAUUACAUAUAGUA